CACUGGUCGAGUCGGCCUGCGCGGAAGAUGUAACGGGGCUAAAUUAUGCACCGAAGCCGCGGCAGCGAUAUGUAAAUAUUGUUGGGUAGGGGAGCGUUCUGUAAGCCUGUGAAGGUGUGCUGUGAGGCAUGCUGGAGGUAUCAGAAGUGCGAAUGCUGACAUAAGUAACGAUAAUGCGGGUGAAAAACCCGCACGCCGGAAGACCAAGGGUUCCUGUCCAACGUUAAUCGGGGCAGGGUGAGUCGAC
rnacentral:rRNA from 1 species